rnacentral:rRNA from 1 species
AAUAGAUACCCGGGUAGUCCACGCCGUAAACGAUGAGUGCUAAGUGUUAGAGGGUUACCGCCCUUUAGUGCUGCAGCAAACGCAUUAAGCACUCCGCCUGGGGAGUACGGCCGCAAGGCUGAAACUCAAAGGAAUUGACGGGGGACCCGCACAAGCGGUGGAGCAUGUGGUUUAAUUCGAAGCAACGCGAAGAACCUUACCAGGUCUUGACAUCCUCUGACCAUCCUAGAGAUAGGACCCUCCCCUUCGGGGGACAGAGUGACAGGUGGUGCAUGGUUGUCGUCAGCUCGUGUCGUGAGAUGUUGGGUUAAGUCCCGCAACGAGCGCAACCCUUGUCCUUAGUUGCCAGCAUUCAGUUGGGCACUCUAAGGAGACUGCCGGUGACAAACCGGAGGAAGGUGGGGAUGGACGUCAAAUCAUCAUGCCCCUUAUGACCUGGGCUACACACGUGCUACAAUGGAUGGUACAAAGGGCUGCGAAGCCGCGAGGUGGAGCCAAUCCCAUAAAACCAUUCUCAGUUCGGAUUGCAGG